GGACCCGCACAAGUAGUGGAGCAUGUGGUUUAAUUCGAAGAUACGCGCAGAACCUUACCAACACUUGACAUGUUUGUCGCGACUUUAAGAGAUUAAAGUCUUCGGUUCGGCCGGACAAAACACAGGUGCUGCAUGGCUGUCGUCAGCUCGUGUCGUGAGAUGUUGGGUUAAGUCCCGCAACGAGCGCAACCCUCACUUUUAGUUGCCAUCAUUUAGUUGGGCACUCUGAAAGAACUGCCAGUGAUAAGCUGGAGGAAGGUGGGGAUGACGUCAAGUCCUCAUGGCCCUUACGUGUUGGGCUACACACGUGCUACAAUGGCAUUUACAAUAGGAAGCAAGAUGGCGACAUCAAGCAAAUCCUAAAAAAAUGCCUCAGUUCGGAUUGUACUCUGCAACUCGAGUACAUGAAGCUGGAAUUACUAGUAAUCGC
rnacentral:rRNA from 1 species